UCAAGGCUGUCCUGUUUGCCUGUUCUGGACUUUUUGGCCUACCUUCUCUUCUUGUUAUUUUUUGGAACCUCAUGCUAGCCCCCUCUUCAUCUCUUCCCUUUCCCCUUCCUCCCUCUUAGGAACUCACAUUCUAAUGGGGAAAGCAAAAUGUGAAGCACAUACAAGAAAUAUAGAGAUUAGAGGGAAGGUGAGCUCAGAAGGAACACGUAAAGUAGCUGAGAGGAAAUUCUGCAGGAGAUGGAAUUUGAACCGAGUCUUGAAGGUUGCCAAGAAACCCAAGAGGCACUGAUUAAGAGGGAGAAUAUUCCAGGUCUGGAAGACAACCAGCACAAAGGGAAAGACAAUUAGCAAACCCAUGAACCAGCAACUCUUUAAAAACUCUCCAGUGGAAAUGAACACACUGUUGUCAAGCACAAGCAACUGUUACCUUAAGAUCCUGGUCUUGAUUGCUUCCACUGCCUGGUCUGUACCAAGAGGAGCCAGAUUUGAGGGGAAGCAUCAUCUACAUCAUUCCAAAAGUCCUUUCCAGCCCUUAUUCUUAUGAGCUGACAAACCCAGAACCAAAGAGCCCUGAGAAUGCAAAUGCUUCCAGUCCAGUGCCUUCAGCCAUCAUCCUGGGAAACAGCUCCUAUGGGGAUGCAGCCGGUAACUGCUCCAGCAGGUGCUACAAUGACAUCUACUGAAGACCUGGAAAGGAAAAUUCUUGUCCCCAAAGUCCUUGGCAAUGUCCAAUGGUUCAAUAUUAGAAACUGAUAUGAUUUUAUCAGUGGAAAGGACGUUAAAGAAGAGGCAUUACCAUCUGAUUGGCCACUGCACCUGAGGGACUAUAGGGACCUUCCUAUUUGAUUUGCAGCUGAAACCAUCGAUGUGUGUUGUCUCCCCCUUAGAAUAUGAGGUCCUUGAGAAGAGGCGCUCUUCUUCCCAUCUGUAUGCCCACCACUUGGCUUUGUACAUAGUAAGUGCUUAAUAAAUAUUUUGUUCAUUCAUUCAUUCAACACUAAAC